rnacentral:rRNA from 1 species
GAUGAACGCUGGCGGCGUGCCUAAUACAUGCAAGUCGAGCGAACGGACGAGAAGCUUGCUUUUCUGAUGUUAGCGGCGGACGGGUGAGUAACACGUGGAUAACCUACCUAUAAGACUGGGAUAACUUCGGGAAACCGGAGCUAAUACCGGAUAAUAUUUUGAACCGCAUGGUUCAAAAGUGAAAGACGGUCUUGCUGUCACUUAUAGAUGGAUCCGCGCUGCAUUAGCUAGUUGGUAAGGUAACGGCUUACCAAGGCAACGAUGCAUAGCCGACCUGAGAGGGUGAUCGGCCACACUGGAACUGAGACACGGUCCAGACUCCUACGGGAGGCAGCAGUAGGGAAUCUUCCGCAAUGGGCGAAAGCCUGACGGAGCAACGCCGCGUGAGUGAUGAAGGUCUUCGGAUCGUAAAACUCUGUUAUUAGGGAAGAACAUAUGUGUAAGUAACUGUGCACAUCUUGACGGUACCUAAUCAGAAAGCCACGGCUAACUACGUGCCAGCAGCCGCGGUAAUACGUAGGUGGCAAGCGUUAUCCGGAAUUAUUGGGCGUAAAGCGCGCGUAGGCGGUUUUCUAAGUCUGAUGUGAAAGCCCACGGCUCAACCGUGGAGGGUCAUUGGAAACUGGAAAACUUGAGUGCAGAAGAGGAAAGUGGAAUUCCAUGUGUAGCGGUGAAAUGCGCAGAGAUAUGGAGGAACACCAGUGGCGAAGGCGACUUUCUGGUCUGUAACUGACGCUGAUGUGCGAAAGCGUGGGGAUCAAACAGGAUUAGAUACCCUGGUAGUCCACGCCGUAAACGAUGAGUGCUAAGUGUUAGGGGGUUUCCGCCCCUUAGUGCUGCAGCUAACGCAUUAAGCACUCCGCCUGGGGAGUACGACCGCAAGGUUGAAACUCAAAGGAAUUGACGGGGACCCGCACAAGCGGUGGAGCAUGUGGUUUAAUUCGAAGCAACGCGAAGAACCUUACCAAAUCUUGACAUCCUUUGACAACUCUAGAGAUAGAGCCUUCCCCUUCGGGGGACAAAGUGGCAGGUGGUGCAUGGUUGUCGUCAGCUCGUGUCGUGAGAUGUUGGGUUAAGUCCCGCAACGAGCGCAACCCUUAAGCUUAGUUGCCAUCAUUAAGUUGGGCACUCUAAGUUGACUGCCGGUGACAAACCGGAGGAAGGUGGGGAUGACGUCAAAUCAUCAUGCCCCUUAUGAUUUGGGCUACACACGUGCUACAAUGGACAAUACAAAGGGCAGCGAAACCGCGAGGUCAAGCAAAUCCCAUAAAGUUGUUCUCAGUUCGGAUUGUAGUCUGCAACUCGACUACAUGAAGCUGGAAUCGCUAGUAAUCGUAGAUCAGCAUGCUACGGUGAAUACGUUCCCGGGUCU